UACGGGGGGAGCAAGCGUUGUUCGGAUUUACUGGGCGUAAAGGGCGCGUAGGCGGCCAGCACAAGUCAGUUGUGAAAUCUCCGAGCUUAACUCGGAAAGGUCAACUGAUACUGUGCGGCUAGAGUGCGGAAGGGGCAACUGGAAUUCUUGGUGUAGCGGUGAAAUGCGUAGAUAUCGGGAGGAACACCUGUGGCGAAAGCGGCGCACUGGACCACAACUGACGCUGAGGCGCGAAAGCUAGGGGAGCAAACAGG
rnacentral:rRNA from 1 species